rnacentral:lncRNA from 1 species
AAACCCUCUCCCUCUUCCUCUUCCUCUUCCCUCUUCUUCUCCCUCUUCCUCUCCUUCUUCCUCUCCUUCUUUCUCUUCCCUCUUCUUCGUCGCCGGCGAACCCAACCCUGCGCCGUCGCCGCCGCCGCUGUCCACUCCGGUGGCCCAAAGAGGGAGAGAAAGGGAAGGGAAAGAGAAAUAUUUUGGAGGGAUAUAUUUGUGAGGGUAAAAAAGUCAUUUCACAAGAAAACUGUUAAAAAAUUAACAGUUUUCUAACAGAUUUCAACCAGAUGGACAUAUCUGCAUAAUUUAGGACUUUUGUAGGGACAACUUAUGAAAUUUCUGUUUUGCAGGGAUAUUUCUGUAAUUCACUAUGUUUGCAGGGACGUGUAUGCAAAUAACUUUUUUGUUUAAAUAUUAACUGGAUUAAAAUUCGUGUGCCAAAAAGUGAUUAAAACUAUUAAAACUAUAGAAUUAUCUAUGAAUUUUAUAUUCUUAUUAGUGUAGUGACCCGUGCGAUGCGGCGGUACGUAGAUAUAUUCUUUUAAAAUUUAAAUUCUAAAUUUUAGAUUCUUAUACUUCUAUAAGUUAUUUUGUAGAGAGUAGAACACAUUUACUUUAACAAUUUUAGUAAUUUUAAAGUAUAUUGAAAACUAUGAACUUUUUUUUUUUGAACAUUCCAAUUUUUAACACUUAAGCAUCACGAUAGGUAUCAAACAACUUCUUUGCUGACGACUUUAUAUAGAUAUCUUAUUAUAUAGGUAGUGACGUGUAGGUUUAACAGAAACAACAGAAAAUAUAUUUAUCAAACAAAUUUCAACAUAUUUAUUAGAUUACGGUAAGUAUUGUGUUAGGCUGCGUAAUAAUUAAUCAUUUCAAAUAUUCUAAACCCUAAUAUAAAUAAAUCUAUCAAAAUUUCCAACACAAUCAAAUCAUUAUAUAAUGGAGACAAUAUGAUUUGUAAACCAAAAUAAACAUAAAAUUAUAGAGAGUAUUUUUUUUAAAAAAAUUGAAUUUUCUUGGAAUCAAAUAGAAAACUAAAAAU